rnacentral:tRNA from 1 species
GCCUUUGUGGUGUAAUGGUCAGCACACUCGGCGCGUAUUCGAGAGGUCCGUGGUUCGAAUCCCGGCGAGGAUA